AAAAAAGCAGGGGCCUCUUGCUUUAGUAAAUGGGCCUCUUUUAAAUGUCAGGGAAAUCAUUAGCCUUGUUUUUGGGUGAACCUCUGUUUUGAUGAUUGUGACUGAAGGUUCAGUUAAUGAUGCAACAUUU